rnacentral:rRNA from 1 species
AGGAUUAGAUACCCUGGUAGUCCACGCUGUAAACGAUGAUCACUCGUUGUGGUCAAUACAGCGUCAGCGACUGAGCGAAAGCAUUAAGUGAUCCACGUGGGAAGUACGUUCGCAAGAAUGAAACUCAAAGGAAUUGACGGGGGCCCGCACAAGCGGAGGAACAUGUGGUUUAAUUAGAUGAUACGAGAGGAACCUUCCGUGGGCUUAAAUGCAUAAAGAUGGACCGGGAAACUGGUCUUUGUUCGGACGGAAUGCAAGGUGCUGCAUGGCUGUCGUCAGCUCGUGCCGUGAGGUGACGGGUUAAGUCCCAUAACGAGCGCAACCCUCAUCAUUAGUUGCCAGCGGGUAAUGCCGGGGACUCUAAUGAAACAACCGGUGUAAACCGAGAGGAAGGUGGGGAUGACGUCAAGUCAGCACGGCCCUUAUGUCCAGGGCUACACACGUGUUACAAUGGCCAGUACAAAGGGCAGCUACCAGGUAACAGGAUGCUAAUCUCUAAAACUGGUCUCAGUUCGGAUCGGAGUCUGCAACUCGACUUCGUGAAGUUGGAUUCGCUAGUAAUCGCGCAUCAGCCAUGGCGCGGUGAAUACGUUCCCGGGCCUUGUACACACCGCCAGUCAAGCCAUGGAAGCCGGGGGUACUUGAAGUACGUAACCGCAAGGAGC